AUGUUCUUGUUGUCUCCUAUGUGGGCUAUUAUUUGUCAAGAGUUUCAGAAAUCUCAACAUCUCACCUUCUUCAUUCCUCCUUCUUGCCCUGUAACUGUGGCUCCUUCUUGCUCUCAGUUGCAGGCUCCUAGCUUGGAGGAUAUGCAACCUUUACCUGCUGAGGUGGUCAGCUUCUCCAGUCCUGCUGCUGUUAAGGGAAAAAGGAAGGACAGGUUGCCUAUUGUGGAAUCUGAGGUAAGAAGAAGUGAGAGAUUGCAACACUUAAACAAGGGAUAUAGGAAGAAAACAUGUCAUGAUAGUAACUGUUUGGCUUGUACUGCUAAGCCUCCUGUCUGCAAUUCAAAAAUAAUAAAGAAUCUGAACUCUUCUUACUGCAAGGUGGACCCUAAGGCUUGCUCUGAAGAAAUCCUCUUGCAGAAGAAAGUUAAAAGAGGGGGGAAGCCAUCAGCAUGGAAGGACUGA
rnacentral:rRNA from 1 species